UACGUAGGGUGCAAGCGUUGUCCGGAAUUAUUGGGCGUAAAGAGCUCGUAGGCGGUCUGUCGCGUCGGAUGUGAAAACCCAGGGCUCAACCCUGGGCCUGCAUUCGAUACGGGCAGACUAGAGUGUGGUAGGGGAGACUGGAAUUCCUGGUGUAGCGGUGAAAUGCGCAGAUAUCAGGAGGAACACCGAUGGCGAAGGCAUGUCUCUGGCCACUACUGACGCUGAGAAGCGAAAGCAUGGGGAGCGAACAGG
rnacentral:rRNA from 1 species